rnacentral:rRNA from 1 species
CCACGGGCGGCAGCAGUGGGGAAUAUUGGACAAUGGGGGCAACCCUGAUCCAGCCAUGCCGCGUGUGUGAAGAAGGCCCUCGGGUUGUAAAGCACUUUCAGUGAGGAAGAACGCCUGGUGGUUAAUACCCAUCAGGAAAGACAUCACUCACAGAAGAAGCACCGGCUAACUCCGUGCCAGCAGCCGCGGUAAUACGGAGGGUGCGAGCGUUAAUCGGAAUUACUGGGCGUAAAGCGCGCGUAGGUGGCUUGAUAAGCCGGUUGUGAAAGCCCCGGGCUCAACCUGGGAACGGCAUCCGGAACUGUCAAGCUAGAGUGCAGGAGAGGAAGGUAGAAUUCCCGGUGUAGCGGUGAAAUGCGUAGAGAUCGGGAGGAAUACCAGUGGCGAAGGCGGCCUUCUGGACUGACACUGACACUGAGGUGCGAAAGCGUGGGUAGCAAACAGGAUUAGAUACCCUGGUAGUC